AAGAAAGAAUUAGAAGAAUCAGAUUUUGAUAGCUCCAAAAUUUGUAAUUCUUCACCACCACCCCCACCGCCGCCCGCCGCCCGCCGCCUCCUCCUAUUGCUUUCGGAACAAUCAAAGUCUCAAACAAGCAGUCUCAGUGGAAGUAGAAGCUAACAUCAUAAAUGUCUCAGACCCUCGUCGUACGAUCUCCCCUAGCGCCUUUACACUCAGCCGCCGCCCCUCACGGCGUCCGACUAUCAAAACACACUAUCACUCGCACACGCAAGUGGACGGUCACCGCACAUUCCAGGAAAGGCGGCGACCGGUGGUCACUUCACGGCAUGAGUGCCCUCGUUACCGGCGGCACCAGAGGCAUUGGGAACGCCAUUGUGGAGGAAUUGGCGGGACUUGGAGCCAGCGUGCAUACUUGCGCCCGUAGCGAAGAGGAGCUGGGAAAAUGCUUGAGGGGAUGGAAAGAGGAAGGGUUUGAAGUGAGUGGAUCAGUGUGCGAUGUGUCUUCUCGGCCUGAUCGCCAGAAGCUAAUGGAGGCUGUUUCUUCUACUUUCAGUGGAAAGCUCGAUAUCCUUAUAAACAAUGUUGGGACAAAUAUACGAAAACCUGUAUCGGAUUUCACAGCCGAGGACUUUACCACCCUAUUGGCAACAAACUUCGAAUCAGUUUUUCAUCUAUGCCAACUUGCCUAUCCUCUUCUUAAAGCAUCGGGGGCAGGAUGUGUUGUAUUCACUUCAUCUGUCUCGGCUUUUGUAUCACUGAAGUCUAUGUCUGUCCAAGGAGCAACGAAAGGAGCUAUUAACCAACUUACGAAAAGCUUGGCGUGUGAGUGGGCAAAAGACAAUAUCAGGAGCAAUGGUGUCGCGCCUUGGUACAUCAGAACAUCUAUGGUGGAGCAAGUGCUGAGUAAUGAGGAAUAUGUAGAGGAGGUUUAUGAUAGGACUCCUCUAAGACGCCUGGGAGAGCCCGAAGAGGUGUCUUCUCUUGUGGCAUUCCUCUGUUUACCUGCUUCAUCUUACAUAACUGGUCAGAUCAUUUGUGUCGAUGGUGGCAUGACCGUAAAUGGAUUUUAUCCCCGGCAUGGCUAAAACUGCAGAAAACGAACUCUUUCCGCCCAAAGAAUCAAUGCCUCACCACCAGGAUAUCAACACCAAAUUAAAGCGGUCCUACUCCAUGGCAAUAGUUCUGGUGGCUUAUACACGUUACCUAUUUUGCCUUCUGCGUUUAUCUCUGCUCGUGCUUCUGCUUCAGUCUAGCACGAUCGUCUGGGUCAUCCACAUCAGUGCGUUUUUACUUUUUAGUCGUGUCUUUCAAUCUUGUUCGGUUAGUGGGUCUAGUAGUUCUAUUCGUUGUAAUUCUAUUUUAUAUUCUGCGUGUCAAUUGGGGAUACCUGCACAUUUUCCUUUGCCGCGUGUUGAGUCUACUAGUUCAGAUAUUCUAGAUUUAGUUUAUACAGAUAUUUGGGGACCUGUCCCUAUUUUUUCUU